GACCGAAACUCUUCACGCAAACAAAUAUCCCAAGCUCCUCACGCCGAACCAAACUCCUGAAGUCGCAACCCUAAUCUCGCACCCACCUCACGUGAACUCUCUUCAGGCCGAUUCUCUACCGCGCGCACCAACUCUAAGCCUCCACUCUUUGGUGAAGCCCUCUCUGACGAAGCCCUCUCUCUGGUGAAUCCUUGUCUGACCAAGCCCUCUCCACCGAAUUGAACAUCUUCGUCAAGAUUUUUUUUGGCACUCUUGCAAUUCUUGUCUUUCUCAGGUUGGAUCGCUUUUUUGGCGCUCUUGUAAUCCUUGUAUUUUUUUGUUCCACCGAGAGUUCUGAUGUCUAAAAGAAUCUAUUCAAGAACAACCCACAACUGGUUCUCCUGGGACCUCCACAACUGGUUCUUCCACCGCAAGAACAACCCCUCUGUUCCCAAAACCUCCAAGUGUAUUAUCUUUUGCCAGUCUUGAUUCAGUGAGUUUAUUUAGUUUUUUCCUAUGUGCUCAUCAGGUCGUUCUCUAUGAUCGAAUGUGUUUUGGGACACUAUCUAUUGCAGAAGAUUCAAAUGUUUCAAAUUUUUGGGUUGGAAGGGCAUGAUGUCGAGCGGAGAAGUCAAGAAGGUAUCUCGUCAGGAUAUACAACUAGUAAACCAGAAUGAAAGCUAACCGAGCGUGGGAAAAAAGAACUAAAAAAAAAUGUUGAAGAUGUUAUCACCCAAUUUCAGUUGCCUUCAGUUGGAUCUGUUUCUGAAAGCUAGAAAAUUUGAUCGUGAGAAAGCAACUCUUAUGUGGGCCCUCUUAUGCGUCAGUGGAGAAAGGAAUUUGGAGCAGAAACAAUUUUAAACAUUACGUAUUUUAUUGUCUGGAACUUUAGGAAUUUGGAUGCUUUGUAAAAGCAUAGAAGGACUAGUCUCAUGAAUGUUAGCUUGUGAGAAUCGAGUGACCUAUUAAUGUUGUGGCUAUUUUAUGUAUUCCAAUGCAAGAGAGUUAGAAGAACCAACACAACAAUCAAAAAUCAAUGUGGACUUUGAACUACUUGCACUACUUCAAAGAGACAUAGGAGAGGAAAGGCUUGCUGCUCAUAGUUAUUUCUAUUGGAAAGAAAAAUUAUAUGAUAUUUAUUUAUUUUUAUAUGCCUGUAACAUAGUUAUUCCUUUA